rnacentral:rRNA from 1 species
GCUUUAUAAUAUUUUUAUAUAAUUUAUUUAGAAAAUUUUAAAUUUAAUAAUUUUAUAUUAUUUUAUUGGGGUGAUAAUAAGAUUUAAUAAACUCUUAUACAUGAAUAUACAUUGAUUUAUGAAUAAUUGAUCCAAUUUUAUUGAUUAAAAAUUUAAGU